UACGGAGGGUGCAAGCGUUAUCCGGAUUCACUGGGUUAAAGGGUGCGUAGGUGGGUUGGUAAGUCAGUGGUGAAAUCUCCGUGCUUAACAUGGAAACUGCCAUUGAUACUACUGAUCUUGAAUUUUCGGGAGGUAAGCGGAAUAUGUCAUGUAGCGGUGAAAUGCUUAGAUAUGACAUAGAACACCAAUUGCGAAGGCAGCUUACUACAGGAAAUAUUGACACUGAUGCACGAAAGCGUGGGGAUCAAACAGG
rnacentral:rRNA from 1 species